GACGAACGCUGGCGGCGUGCCUAAUACAUGCAAGUAGAACGCACAGUUUAUACCGUAGCUUGCUACACCAUAAACUGUGAGUUGCGAACGGGUGAGUAACGCGUAGGUAACCUGCCUGGUAGCGGGGGAUAACUAUUGGAAACGAUAGCUAAUACCGCAUAAUAUUGAUUAUUGCAUGAUAAUUGAUUGAAAGAUGCUAUUGCAUCACUACCAGAUGGACCUGCGUUGCAUUAGCUAGUAGGUGAGGUAACGGCUCACCUAGGCGACGAUACAUAGCCGACCUGAGAGGGUGAUCGGCCACACUGGGACUGAGACACGGCCCAGACUCCUACGGGAGGCAGCAGUAGGGAAUCUUCGGCAAUGGACGAAAGUCUGACCGAGCAACGCCGCGUGAGUGAAGAAGGUUUUCGGAUCGUAAAGCUCUGUUGUAAGAGAAGGACGGGUGUGAGAGUGGAAAGUUCACACUGUGACGGUAUCUUACCAGAAAGGGACGGCUAACUACGUG
rnacentral:rRNA from 1 species